AGCAGCCGCGGUAAUUCCAGCUCCAAUAGCGUAUAUUAAAGUUGUUGCAGUUAAAAAGCUCGUAGUUGAAUUUCGGAGUUUGUCGGUUGGUCGGGCUUCACUGUCCGCACUGGCCUGAUGGAUUCCUACCUUCUGAAUAACCAGCAUGCUAUUAAUUUAGUGCGUUGGGGAAGCAGAGCUAUUACCUUGAAAAAAUUAGAGUGCUUAAAGCAGGCUUACGCUUGAAUAGAUUAGCAUGGAAUAAUAAAAUAGGACGGCUUGGUUCUAUUUUGUUGGUUUCUAGGAUCACCGUAAUGAUUAAUAGGGAUAGUUGGGGGCAUUAGUAUUCAAUUGUCAGAGGUGAAAUUCUUGGAUUUAUUGAAGACUAACUUCUGCGAAAGCAUUUGCCAAGGAUGUUUUCAUUAAUCAAGAACGAAAGUUAGGGGAUCGAAGACGAUCAGAUACCGUCGU
rnacentral:rRNA from 1 species